rnacentral:rRNA from 1 species
GGGAUAACACUGGGAAACAGGUGCUAAUACCGUAUAACACUAUUUUCCGCAUGGAAGAAAGUUGAAAGGCGCUUUUGCGUCACUGAUGGAUGGACCCGCGGUGCAUUAGCUAGUUGGUGAGGUAACGGCUCACCAAGGCCACGAUGCAUAGCCGACCUGAGAGGGUGAUCGGCCACACUGGGACUGAGACACGGCCCAGACUCCUACGGGAGGCAGCAGUAGGGAAUCUUCGGCAAUGGACGAAAGUCUGACCGAGCAACGCCGCGUGAGUGAAGAAGGUUUUCGGAUCGUAAAACUCUGUUGUUAGAGAAGAACAAGGAUGAGAGUAGAACGUUCAUCCCUUGACGGUAUCUAACCAGAAAGCCACGGCUAACUACGUGCCAGCAGCCGCGGUAAUACGUAGGUGGCAAGCGUUGUCCGGAUUUAUUGGGCGUAAAGCGAGCGCAGGCGGUUUCUUAAGUCUGAUGUGAAAGCCCCCGGCUCAACCGGGGAGGGUCAUUGGAAACUGGGAGACUUGAGUGCAGAAGAGGAGAGUGGAAUUCCAUGUGUAGCGGUGAAAUGCGUAGAUAUAUGGAGGAACACCAGUGGCGAAGGCGGCUCUCUGGUCUGUAACUGACGCUGAGGCUCGAAAGCGUGGGGAGCGAACAGGAUUAGAUACCCUGGUAGUCCACGCCGUAAACGAUGAGUAAAGGUGUUGAAGGGUUUCCGCCCUUCAGUGCUGCAGCA